UGCCUACGGGGGGCAGCAGUGAGGAAUAUUGGUCAAUGGGCGCGAGCCUGAACCAGCCAAGUCGCGUGAGGGAUGACGGCCCUACGGGUUGUAAACCUCUUUUGUCGGGGAGCAAAUUCCGUUACGUGUAACGGAGUCGAGAGUACCCGAAGAAAAAGCAUCGGCUAACUCCGUGCCAGCAGCCGCGGUAAUACGGAGGAUGCGAGCGUUAUCCGGAUUUAUUGGGUUUAAAGGGUGCGCAGGCGGCCUGUUAAGUCAGCGGUAAAAGCCCGGGGCUCAACCCCGGCGAGCCGUUGAAACUGGCG
rnacentral:rRNA from 1 species